rnacentral:ncRNA from 1 species
UGUGGAAAAAGGCAAAUCCGGUGAAAACUGGAGACGCAAAAACACAGGUCUAAGGAGUAAUAUCUAUGACGGCUGGUUUACCCAA